rnacentral:lncRNA from 1 species
AGAUGCUAAGGUGAGUUGAGUUGCUUGAUUGACGUCAAAUCAUAGGAUGUAGCUGAAAUUGUGAAGUUAAAAUUCUUCUUUCAUUUCCAUCUGUAAUGUAGGCUUAGACGAUGAUGACCUGGUUAGGGCCCGGUCUGCUUGAUCGGCCCAACUAGGCUUUGGCCCAGCCCAAGCUUCCAUCAUAGACUUCAGUUCGACACCUGGCCAAGCUUCAAUCAAAGACUCCUGUCUGACUCCUGGUGAGCUGCCGGAGUUUUGCCUCCUUUAUAAAAAGAAAGCCCCUCCCUUUAUGACCCUCCACCACUGAGCAAUGGCCCUCAUUCUCUCUUUCUCCCUUCAAAAUCGCAGCAAUCUGUCACUGUGCUCACUGGAAAUCAAGGUUGGAGAGCUCGCUUGAGCCAAGGUAAGGCCCCGACCUUCUUUCUUUGGUCCUCUCCUCUUUCCAUGGCCUCAA